AAAAAGUAUUUCGGUAUGUAAAGCUCUAUCAGCAGGGAAGAUAAUGACGGUACCUGACUAAGAAGCACCGGCUAAAUACGUUCCAGCAGCCGCGGUAAUACGUAUGGUGCCAGCGUUAUCCUGAUUUACUGGGUGUAAAGGGAGCGCAGGCGGUGCGGCAAGUCUGAUGUGAAAGCCCGGGGCUCAACCCCGGUACUGCAUUGGAAACUGUCGUACCAGAGUUGCGGAGGGGUAAGCGGAAUUCCUAGUGUAGCGGUGAAAUGCGUAGAUAUUAGGAGGAACACCAGUGGCGAAGGCGUCUUUCUGUACGAUAACUGACGCCGAGGCUCGAAAGCGUGGGGCGCCAACACGAUUAGAUCCCCUUGUAGUC
rnacentral:rRNA from 1 species